UACGGAGGGUGCGAGCGUUAAUCGGAAUUACUGGGCGUAAAGCGCACGUAGGUGGUUGGGUAAGUCGGAUGUGAAAGCCCUGGGCUUAACCUGGGAACUGCAUUCGAUACUGCCCGGCUAGAGUAUGGGAGAGGGAAGCGGAAUUUCCGGUGUAGCGGUGAAAUGCGUAGAUAUCGGAAGGAACACCAAUGGCGAAGGCAGCUUCCUGGCCCAAUACUGACGCUCAGGUGCGAAAGCGUGGGGAUCAAACAGG
rnacentral:rRNA from 2 species